GAUGAACGCUGGCGGCGUGCCUAAUACAUGCAAGUCGAGCGAACGGACGAGAAGCUUGCUUCUCUGAUGUUAGCGGCGGACGGGUGAGUAACACGUGGAUAACCUACCUAUAAGACUGGGAUAACUUCGGGAAACCGGAGCUAAUACCGGAUAAUAUUUUGAACCGCAUGGUUCAAAAGUGAAAGACGGUCUUGCUGUCACUUAUAGAUGGAUCCGCGCUGCAUUAGCUAGUUGGUAAGGUAACGGCUUACCAAGGCAACGAUGCAUAGCCGACCUGAGAGGGUGAUCGGCCACCCUGGAACUGAGACACGGUCCAGACUCCUACGGGAGGCAGCAGUAGGGAAUCUUCCGCAAUGAGCGAAAGCCUGACGGAGCAACGCCGCGUGAGUGAUGAAGGUCUUCGGAUCGUAAAACUCUGUUAUUAGGGAAGAACAUAUGUGUAAGUAACUGUGCACAUCUUGACGGUACCUAAUCAGAAAGCCACGGCUAACUACGU
rnacentral:rRNA from 1 species